GACGAACGCUGGCGGCGUGCUUAACACAUGCAAGUCGAACGGAAAGGCCCUGCUUUUGUGGGGUGCUCGAGUGGCGAACGGGUGAGUAACACGUGAGUAACCUGCCCUUGACUUUGGGAUAACUUCAGGAAACUGGGGCUAAUACCGGAUAGGAUCUCCUGCUGCAUGGUGGGGGUUGGAAAGUUUCGGCGGUUGGGGAUGGACUCGCGGCUUAUCAGCUUGUUGGUGGGGUAGUGGCUUACCAAGGCUUUGAAGGGUAGCCGGCCUGGGAGGGUGACCGGCCACAUUGGGACUGAGAUACGGCCCAGACUCCUACGGGAGGCAGCAGUGGGGAAUAUUGCACAAUGGGCGGAAGCCUGAUGCAGCAACGCCGCGUGCGGGAUGACGGCCUUCGGGUUGUAAACCGCUUUCGCCUGUGACGAAGCGUGAGUGACGGUAAUGGGUAAAGAAGCACCGGCUAACUACGUG
rnacentral:rRNA from 1 species